CCUACGGGAGGCAGCAGUGGGGAAUAUUGGACAAUGGGGGCAACCCUGAUCCAGCCAUGCCGCGUGUGUGAAGAAGGCCCUCGGGUUGUAAAGCACUUUCAGUGAGGAAGAACGCCUGGUGGUUAAUACCCAUCAGGAAAGACAUCACUCACAGAAGAAGCACCGGCUAACUCCGUGCCAGCAGCCGCGGUAAUACGGAGGGUGCGAGCGUUAAUCGGAAUUACUGGGCGUAAAGCGCGCGUAGGUGGCUUGAUAAGCCGGUUGUGAAAGCCCCGGGCUCAACCUGGGAACGGCAUCCGGAACUGUCAAGCUAGAGUGCAGGAGAGGAAGGUAGAAUUCCCGGUGUAGCGGUGAAAUGCGUAGAGAUCGGGAGGAAUACCAGUGGCGAAGGCGGCCUUCUGGACGGACACUGACACUGAGGUGCGAAAGCGUGGGUAGCAAACAGGAUUAGAUACCCUAGUAGUC
rnacentral:rRNA from 1 species